GGAAAGAUAGCUAUCCAUGUGGGCAGCAGUUGUUGAUUCACAGUGGAAAGGUUUUGAAAGAUGAAAAGACAUUGGAAGAGAGCAAUGUUGGGGAAGACGGUUUCCUUGUUGUAAUGCUUAGCAAGAGCAAAACGUCAGGUGCUGGUGGAACAUCAUCGGCCCAGCCUUCGACAACAGCUACGAUUCAUCCCACCACUACUGUUAC
rnacentral:misc_RNA from 1 species